rnacentral:misc_RNA from 1 species
AAGUCGUAACAAGGUUUCCGUAGGUGAACCUGCGGAAGGAUCAUUACUAGAGCAAAGGAUAGACAGCGCCCGCGGAGCUUGCUCCCUGGGGCUACCCUACUUCGGUAGGGUUUAGAGUCGUCGGGCCUCUCGCAGAAGCUCGGUCCUGAACUCCACCCUUGAAUAAAUUACCUUUGUUGCUUUGGCGGGCCGCCUCGUGCCAGCGGCUUCGGCUGUUGCGUGCCCGCCAGAGGACCACAACUCUUGUUUUUAGUGAUGUCUGAGUACUAUAUAAUAGUUAAAACUUUCAACAACGGAUCUCUUGGUUCUG